rnacentral:rRNA from 1 species
UACGUAGGGGGCAAGCGUUGUCCGGAUUUAUUGGGCGUAAAGAGCGUGUAGGCGGCUUUACAGGUCCGUUGUGAAAACUCGAGGCUCAACCUCGAGACGCCGGUGGAAACCGUAAAGCUAGAGUCCGGAAGAAGAGAGUGGAAUUCCUGGUGUAGCGGUGAAAUGCGCAGAUAUCAGGAAGAACACCCGUGGCGAAGGCGGCUCUCUGGGACGGUACUGACGCUGAGACGCGAAAGCGUGGGGAGCGAACAGG